UAAUACAGAGGUGGCAAGCGUUGUUCGGAAUUACUGGGCGUAAAGGGCGCGUAGGCGGUUGGAUAAGUCAGCUGUGAAAACCACGGGCUUAACUCGUGGCCUGCAGUUGAGACUGUCUGGCUUGAGUGUGGGAGAGGAGAGUGGAAUUCCUGGUGUAGCGGUGAAAUGCGUAGAUAUCAGGAGGAACACCGGUGGCGAAGGCGGCUCUCUGGACCACAACUGACGCUGAGGCGCGAAAGCUAGGGGAGCAAACAGGAUUAGAUACCCUGGUAGUCCUAGCUGUAAACGAUGGAUACUUGCUGUGGGGGGUGUUAAAUCCCCCUGUGGCGGAGCUAACGCAUUAAGUAUCCCGCCUGGGGAGUACGGUCGCAAGGCUG
rnacentral:rRNA from 1 species